CUCUGAAUCACUAACUUCUAAAUGCCAUGGGAGAAAAAGCAAUUCAUUUACUAAAAGACAUGUAUUCAGCUUGCAGGUUUUUUAAAUAAGCAGUAUCACAUGAAUAUUGUCAUUUCGAUUACCCAAGGACAAAUCACAGACUUCGAGUCACCCAUCAACCCACAGACUGAGGGCCGGACUGAAUUAUGGAUUGGUAUAAAUGAAGCGUUCUUUAACCAAUCUGAAGUUCCACUCCAGCACCAUGCAUUUGCAUGAAUGAAACUGGGAUUCUGUUCACACCAGAGAGGAAAAGCUGUAGAGGGGCACGUUUUAGACCACAGUAGCCCGUCCGGCCUGAAGAUGGAUGGCUGUGUUAGUGGCACUUUGAUUAACAGCUCCAUCCGGACUUUGGCUGGUGGCUCACCAGUCUGGAGCCGCUCCAAGGAGACCCCACUAGCCCAGCUGUGCUGAAGCAGGCAAGGCCUCUGCUGAUGACUGCAGUGGCAGGAAAAUCCAUCUUCCUGCACUGAGCCUCAAAUGUAUUUUCCCCUUCUACAUACACUGUGUGAUUGAGGAUUUAGUGCAUGUUCUGAUGAAUACACACACAAACACACUCAUCAUUUCUCUUUCACCUAAAUGGCACCUCAUCUCAAUGCAAUGUUGAUGGAAUCAGCACUGCUGAUGUGCAAAGCAGAACUUCGCUAAUGAUUCUUCUCCGUGCCGCCAUCAACACAUCAUUCAGUGCUCCUUUCGAUGAUUUCACCAUUAUGAGGGUGAUAAAAGAGCCCUGGUGAAUUUCAAUGCAACAUAUUUUGGAAGGGAAUUCUACUGAAAGACCCUUCCAGCAAGCACUGUGUUAAAAUAAACACAUACAAGAUAAGUAUACUGCCAGCUGGCUAAAGAUAAGAGGAGAAUUUGACAAGAGAGAGAGAAAAUGAACAAUGUAAGCAGGUAGACAGAGAGGAGAGCAGCAUUUCCUGUUUUUGUAUGGGGUGUCCCACAUCAUUUGAGUUGACUCCAUGCUGAACUUAAUUUAUUAAUCCUAAUUUCACAAUGAGUCAAACAGUUGUUCACUUUGAGCAUACAUAUGCACUCUGGUGCUCUUUAUUAUUAGGUCUGCAUGCUAGAUAAAGUGUGUUUAAGAGGCUGGAUACAGCCAAUUUACCAGUAAUCCUCUUUUUUCAUCAUUGUUAAAGGGGACAUAACACACUUGCACAACUCUGUUGCUGCCCUGGAGAAACAGACUGCAUCCACUGUUUCUCAUGACAUGAGAAAACAAAUUUCCCUUGAUCUUUUGACACAGAAGAGGUCUUUGUAUGACUGAAUAGUCAUCUUCUCACCAUAGGCCCCGCCCACUGGCGUUCAGUCGCUUAACAGCUUGAUACUUCAUUACGCUGCCACUAUCUUGUCUACACUGGAUACAGUAUACAGAUGCACGUCCACUUUCUGGCACAGUCCACUCGAUUGAGUCUGUCGUCAGUUGGACAAAUGGAGUGAAAGAACGUUCACUGUGACGCAUUUGGUUUAAACAGCUCGUUCGUGUCUUUGUACAGAUAUCAGAAGGAUCCCAGCGUAAGGAGCAAGUGGAUAGUUUAUUUUUAAUGGCUUUGUGGUAUCGUGUCUAAGGUUUGUUUGGAGGAUUUUGAGGCACAGCUUUAUGGAGAGUUCACAAAGAAACAUUUGUUGAAAGUACUAAAUCUGACUGCAGCUGCAUCACAAACUGUAAGUAAAUUAUUUCACAACAAAAACCUGCCUAAUUGCUACUUAAAACUAGCCCAGUUGCUUUUUGGUGGGGGUCCACUGAUAAAAUUCACAUUCCAGGGGAAAAAUAUCAUGUUAUUGGAGUCGCUUAACCCCACGGUCAUGAAAAACAACCCACGGCAACAGUGUUAAAAUAGCCCAAUUCUGCUGGAAAACCGUGGAUUUGGCAACACUGUAGAAGUGCCCAUAUAAGGAAUUCCAUCCUUUAUAAUGUCAUGCAUCACCAUACACGAAAGAGAGUCUUUAUUCAACUGAAGUAAGCCUAUGGGUGAGACUUCCGAUUCAUUAUCUGCUAUAGAAAAAUAACGAGAAGAAGAAUAACAACACACAGUAAAUGGUACAACACUAGAAACCAGUGUGUUCAUAAUUAAGAUAAUACAUUAAAAUAAUAUGGUAAGACACACCAUUUUGCAAAUUAAGCAGCAAAACAAGCUGUUUUGAACAGAUAAAAAUAGCUGGACGCGGAUGAGACCAGAAGCUAGACCCAUAAAAUUUACAAAUGACUGUGCCCACUCUUACGGGAAGAAAACGGUGGAUAUGAAUCUUGCAUGAUUUAGCAUGAGAAUCCAGCUCUUUAACUGUGUAAAUAAGUCAGAAUGCGUAAAAUAGCAUUAGACAUCCUCUUUAAAGGUUUUGGUUUGGAUAUGUUGAGACACAAGUUUGUCUUCAGCACUUAAUCAUUCAGAAGAACUUAAAUCAGCAGAAUUUGCAGCAGCUCCAUUUUGGGAGUCACUCCUGUUUCAAAAGACUGCUUGCCUUUUUAAAUUUAUAUUUGACACAUCUUUAAUGUAUUUGCCCUUAUCAACAGUGGCCAGGAAAUUGGCUUUUUAUAUGAAAUACUGUAAUCUUUUCAUUUAAUAACCUUUUUGUUUUUUUCAGGAAACUUUAUUGCCCUGGUAUGUAAUGGGAAUUAUGAUCAGUUAUGAGUAAAGGAAAGGUCUGUGGGUGAGAGAGGCAUCUCUUUUAUUCGGAUGGCUCACUUCUGCAAUAUUUCUGUCAUGAACAACAUUAGCAAUCUGGGACUUGAUGUCUCACAAAAUUAAAAGUCUAAGGAUGAAGCGACCUGUGGAAAAUUGUCACUUUCUACCUCCCUUUCUUCAAAACCAAUAUGUUAAAUGAGUGUUUAUAUCCCAGAUGUGCAAUCAGGUCACGGUUAGAUGGACAAAGAGCUGGCCCUUAACCAGUAGGCAUGUGUGUGUAAUGUGUGAGCGAAGUUGGGAUUCGUUCAUUCGCUCGAGAUGGUCUCAUUUCCCUUCCCUCCCUCCCCGUAGACCGACUCUGGAAUGAGACCAGCAUUCCAAAUAUCCAUGACUGCAAGCGAUGUAAUCCAUUAGCUUAGCUUGCAGGAACCACUGUUCUGUGACACACUGUGAGGAAACAGAUCUGAAUGAUUCCUGAUGGAGCAACACUGUAUAAAACGCAAGCCCAGAUUGUAAAAGACUCCUAAAUGGCUCAUCUCAUUAUUUUGAUUGGUUUGAAGACUUUGCCUGAAACACAAACCUGUAUGCCAACCUCAAGAGGUCUUGAUUCACAUUUAAAGUUCAUGAUCAUCUAUAAAUCAGUGUGACCUUUUAGAAGGAGUCUUCAUUGCUUUGUUUUAGCGAAAGGUAUAUUGAUGUUUCUGUUCAUUUCCAAGUUGAAAUAACAACAAUCAGACAGCUUCAGACAGUCUGUGUUAUUUUGUGUUAAUUCAUCUGUCUCUUGGUAAUAUGGUGAAUACUAAUAGUGGUAUGGUCCAGUGUCUGUCUGGUAAAUAACCCUAAAAGUUAACAAAAUUGUCAUUUUUCCUAAACGGAUAGUUGAAAUGUUGAAAAUUCUGUCAUUAAUUACUCACCCUUGUGUCGUUCCA